rnacentral:ncRNA from 2 species
AAAAAAAUGCAUAUAGUCACUCGUAUAAUAUUGGAGAUAGGGUCCAAAAGUUUCUACCAAACCGCCGUAAAUGGUUUGACUACGAGAAGGAUUUGAGUUUUG